rnacentral:piRNA from 1 species
UAGGCUUAUGCUGUUCAUGAUCUUCUCUGG